AGGGAUCAUUACCGAAGUUACCCUUCAAAACCCUUUGUGAACGUUACCUCUUGCCGCGUUGCCUCGGCGGGAGGCGGUGGGAAGUCUCUCCGGAGGCCCCCGCCGUCCCCGCCGGCAGCGCCAAAACUCUAUUUGCACAGCGGACUGUAUGUUCUGAUUUAUAAAAAAAAACAAGUUAAAACUUUCAACAACGGAUCUCUUGGUUCUG
rnacentral:misc_RNA from 1 species